rnacentral:tRNA from 1 species
UUGGGGAUUUAGCUCAGUGGUAGAGCGUUUGCCUAGGAAGUACAAGGCCCUGGGUUCGGUCCCCAGCUCCAAA